UACGUAGGGGGCAAGCGUUUGUCCGGAUUUAUUGGGCGUAAAGAGCUCGUAGGUGGUUCGGUAAGUCGGAUGUGAAAUCUCCAGGCUCAACCUGGAGGGGUCAUUCGAUACUGCCGUGACUAGAGUUCGGUAGGGGAGUGUGGAAUUCCUGGUGGAGCGGUGAAAUGCGCAGAUAUCAGGAGGAACACCCGUAGCGAAGGCGGCACUCUGGGCCGAUACUGACACUGAGGAGCGAAAGCGUGGGGGAGCGAACAGG
rnacentral:rRNA from 1 species